GUGGCCAAGUGUUAAGGCGUCAGUCUCAUAAACCAAAGAUCAUGGGUUUGAACCCCAUC
rnacentral:tRNA from 1 species